rnacentral:lncRNA from 1 species
AAAUAUAUAAAAAACAUAGUUGUUUUAUAUGUCGCUGUUAAUAUUUAAAGGAGAAAAGUUCCAGAAACCAUGAUUUAAACGUUGUUUGAGAAAGAUUUUUUGUUACAACAAGAGAUGUAUGAGUUUUGAUCUAUAAGUACUCGAUUUGAUUCCUGAUUUAUGAAAAAGUGUUACAAAAAAAAAAAAAAGUACUCGAUUUGAUUAACCAUAUAAAAAUAAAAUAAAUAAAUAUAGCACGGUAGCACCAAGCUUGAAGUAUACGGUGCUCAAAAUAUUUUUGAAACAUGUCAUUAUUUAAAAAAUACCAUAGCUACUUUCUUCAGUUGAAAUAUGUUACCUGGAUUUACAAAGGACAACGAAGACCUAUCCAAAUUUUGUUGUCUAAUAUGUGCGCAAUUGAUUAUAAGUUUAUAACAUCAAGACCACAAGGGUACAACUGCGUGAGUGCGUGGCCAAAUCCAUGAUCUUCCACGAAUUUCGUCUUAUAGGUGUUACAUCAGUAUUUUGUAUUUUUUACGAUGAAAAGGUUCAUUGCGU